GUUCGAGGGUACUGUGAUAUACUUUGAAUCACUAAAUAUAUUUGAGUAGAGUUACUGACUGUGUCUAGUGUCUGUCGUCUUGUGCUGAAGGGAAGAUGAAGGGUAUUAUUCUGUUUACAUUUUUGACCAUCUGGUCAAAUGUAGAUUGCAAGUCUUGCUCAUAUUCUCCAUCGCAGUGGUGUACCUCUUUGGACUCCGCCAUCGAAUGUGGGGUUCUGAAGCAGUGCCUGGAAACCAAUGCCACCAAGCCCAACACACUGGAGCAGUCAGUUCAGGUGGAGCUGUAUUAUGAGAGCCUGUGCCCAGCAUGCCGCUACUUCCUCACCUCACAGCUCUUACCCACAUGGACCAUGCUGCAGGACGCCAUGAGUGUCACGCUGGUGCCCUAUGGAAAUGCAGAAGAAUCUUUUGAUGGGAAGAAGUAUCAGUUCACCUGCCAGCACGGCGAAGAAGAGUGUCUUGGCAACAUGAUCGAGACCUGCAUUUUGAAUGUUACAGGAAGUAACGCCUUCCAGAUAAUCUACUGCAUGGAGGCCUCCACUGAUGUGGUUAAAGCAGGCGAGAAGUGUGUGGAGCUCUAUGACCCAAACACCAAGUGGGACAGCAUCAUGACCUGUGUGAAGGGAGACCAGGGGAAUCAGCUAAUGCAUCAGAAUGCAGUGAAGACUGGUGCCCUGAAGCCAACCCACAACUAUGUGCCUUGGAUUGUCAUAAAUGGGGAGCACACAGAAGAACUUCAGGACAAAGCAAUGUCUUCACUCUUCGCUUUGAUCUGCAGCAUGUACAAGAAAUGUUUGGUGAUGGACUAGGAUCGCGAUCAACCGGUUGGUGACCACUGCACUAGAGUGUGUCUGGUGAUGGACUAGGAUCACGAUCGACAGGGGUCCAAGCCUGAAGCCUGUAGUACGGCUCUGAUGAAACGACACAGAAGUUACAGUUACCAUGAUGAGUAAAUCAUCUACGUCUCAACACUGCACUAUACUGCCAUGUGCCUCUGUGGUUGAUUGCUAAAUAUGGAUGGUAAAUGCUACCUUAAAAAUGUGUGGUAUCAAUGGGUUUUUUAAAAUCUGGUUUAACUAUCAAUAUUACACAAUUAUUCAAAAAUCAAGAAAAUGGACGUCAUGUACUGUUUCAUUGCUCAAUGACUGAGCCUUUGUGGAAUGAGCUGUGUGAAAUAAGCUCUCUGAUAGCAAUCCAUUUUUUUAUAAAGUGAUGAAGUUUCACUAGCCUUUGUAAAUGAAUAUUGGGGAUGUAAUGAAUAUGAAAUUAAAGUAAACUACUUUAAAAGGA